AUUCCAGCUCCAAUAGCGUAUAUUAAAGUUGUUGCAGUUAAAAAGCUCGUAGUUGGAUUUGUGGUGUACUUCGGCGGCCCGUCACUAUGUGAUGGAGCUUGCUGAAGUCGCCAUCCUUGGGUGGAUCCUGUGUGGCAUUAAGUUGUCGUGCAGGGGAUGCCCAUCGUUUACUGUGAAAAAAUUAGAGUGUUCAAAGCAGGCUUAUGCCGUUGAAUAUAUUAGCAUGGAAUAAUAAGAUAGGACCUUGGUACUAUUUUGUUGGUUUGCGCACCAAGGUAAUGAUUAAUAGGGACAGUUGGGGGUAUUCGUAUUUCAUUGUCAGUGGUGAAAUUCUUGGAUUUUUGAAAGACGAACUACUGCGAAAGCAUUUACCAAGGAUGUUUUCAUCG
rnacentral:rRNA from 1 species